UCCAGGCAAUGGAGAUGGUAGAUGCAGCUACGCUGAUCCCUGGAGGCAGAUGAGGAGCAUAAAGGGAAACUAAUCUGAUGCGUCCAUCCCUCAUUAAAAAGCCACUUAUGCCAGGCAGGGAAAAUCUCAAGUCUCUCAGAUGCAAAGAGCACAAGGCAGGAAAACACUCUGGGACACCAGUUGAGGUUAAAGAUAAAGGGUUGGCAUUUUCUCCUGCAUCUUCCCUUAGAACAGAUCAAUUCUGAACACUCCUG